AUUGAUAACCGAUUUUCCGUCGCGUACGUCGUCUCAUUGCCUCAAUAGGGAACACCAUUGAUACACGAAACGCACGAUUAUGCGAAACCACUCAUAUUUUAAUCGUCGAAAUACGACCGAACGCCCGUAACCAAAAACUAAAUGGUGGUGGUUAUCAUUCGGAAUUGUUAUUCUCGUAAUACCGGAAUCGCAGCGCUAACACAUCAAAAGGCCAAAUCGCAUUAUAAAAAUGUCGACACGCGCAAAUCGGGAUCAUAACGUUUUAUAUUACAUUUUUUUUCGAACGUCAGUCAUGUGCUAAUCUAGGCACACAUUAUACGCUAUAUUAAAUUACAAUAUAUAUAAAAUAGUUCCGAAUAAGAAAAUUCACACGUAUUUGCAUUUUUUUCAUCGUUUGCUCUUCACCGUGGAUUCGGCGAUUUUAAAUUACAAUUACCUUUUAUUAUUUUAUAUUUUAUUCGAUCAUCAUAAUAUUUUAUUCAGUCAACAAACUGGGAUUUUCGACUACACGUGAAUGAAUACUGGAAUACCGAGAUCCCAACAAUCUUAACGUAAAGCAAAUGUAGCAAUUAAAAACAAGAAAUGGUAUACAGUAGUUAUAUGCUCCCAGCACUGGUUAGAAAAUGCAGCACAGCAAGCAGAGAAAAAUCUUACCGAAGGACAAAAGAAAAAAAGAACAAGCACAAAUUAAAAUCUAAAUCACACAAAAAACCUGCUCUAAUUACUUCAAAUAAACAUUUAGUUCAAUAUUCAGAUGUUAGUUCUGAAGAACUUAGUAGUCCAGAAGCAGGUGAAAUACAUAGUGAUUUCGAUGAUAAACAUGGGGCCAUACGUUUAAAACCUCCUACCAGAAUAAUAACUAAUAAUUUUCGAAUUACUAGAGUCACAUCACCUAGAAAUCUAGUAACGGCCUGUUCCCCUAUAAGUAAUCAUUGGGAACUAGAUCCAGUACUAGAGAAAUCUUCAAUGUCUACUACUUUCAAUAUAAAUAAUUGCGUACACAUGACAUCAGAAGUAUCACGUUUAAAGUACAAAAAAGCUAAAAAAUCCAAUAAAAAACCUAAAAGCCCUAAUCCAAAAAAGAAAAAAAAGAAGAAGGAUUUGAAACAUAAAUCUGAUGAAUUACCAGACUGUGAUAAUAGUUUUGUGAAGUUUUCCAAAUGUUCUAAUCCGGAACCUUCCAAACGAAAUGGUGAUUUUAUUGAACCUGUUAAAAAGCAUAAACCUAUUGAGGUGUCACAUACUCCACCAUUAACAAAACCAGCUCAUAUCAAAGUUUCCAAAAUUGAGGUAACUCAUAAGGAGGAAGACAAACACACCAAACAUCAUAGAAAAGAAAAUAAAAGUUGGAUGAAGAGCCCACCAUUAUUAAAUAUAGCUAUAAGGAAAGAAUAUAGCCGCACUCCUGAACCUGUAGAUGGUAAAUAUAAUUAUCAACCACGAAGUGUUUCAAAACAAAAUAAUCGGGACCAUAAAAGACGUAUGGAUGAGUUUGAAAGAUACGACACUGACGAACUCAAGUCUAGUAGGACUCGGGACAAACACGAGAGCAAACACGAGAGCAAACACGAGAGCAAACAUGAGAGCAAACAUGAGAUUAAACACGAGAGUAAACAUGAAAGGAGUAGAGUACGGAAAACUAAAUCUGAUAAAGACAGAUCACCUGUACAUAGCCACAGAUUAUCACGAAGUCCAAUUCGAGAUCGUCGACACCAUGAACAUGUGAAAAGUUCUAAAGCGGGAUAUUCACAAUCCCAUUCUCAUUCCCGUUCCCAUUCUCGUUCUCGUUCACAUUCCCCCCAUCAAUCGAGACAUGAUCACCAUCAUGCACACCACUCGCCAAAACGUGGUCAAAAAUCUCCACCGCGUACUACUAUUUCCAAAUCAUUAAAGCACACGUCUCAUAUACCGCGAACAGCCUCACCUCACAAUUCUCGUUCUUCGAGAAAAUCAAGUCAUAAUCGACCAAAAUAUUCACGUUCUCCAUCUAAAAACAUACGCACUCAAAGUAAAUCGUCUUCUCCAGUAAAGGAUUCUAAAACUACUAAAAAGCAUUCUGAUAGUGAUUCACCUGGAUGUUAUUCUUCAGUUUCUAAGAAAAAAAAAUCUACAAAAAGUCCUGCAAAACAAUAUAAUUCUAAAGUAAAACUUAGUGAAACGAGUCUUUUUGCGGAGUUGGUAAAAGAUCGGCAGAUGCGGGAAUUAGCCAUGAAGUGUUUAACACAAAUUAGUUCUAAGACUGUUGAUGAAAAUGAUGUAGUUGAAAUAAAAGAUGAUUCAGAUAAUGAACAAAAUAGUUCUAAGACGGGUGAUAUAAAUACAAAAUUAAACAAAAUUAAUGCGAACGAUGAUGUAGAUUCUUGUGUAAUAGUAGAAAUGUCAGAAAAUAUCAGUCAAACUACUAAACCUGAUGUUGAAACAUCUAAUGUAAAAUCAGUUACUUCACCAAUUUCAGAAAUGACCACAAACAUUCCAGUGAUUUCUCUAAAAAGUCUAAGUCCAUCUAUUACGAAAGUAGAGAUCAUAGAAAAUGGAAUUGAACAUUCUGUAGAACCUAAAGAGCCUAAAGUAACAUUAACACCCAAAAUAACUCCACCUGAGAAAAAAGUAGAAGUAAUAGAAAAUAAAGAUUUGUCGAAAAUGCCAUUGCCGCCUGUUUUUUCAAUACUCAAUGAAACGUCGCCUGAUUCAGAAUUUAAGAGUUCAAAAAAAAGCUUUAAAGAUUUACCUCUACCACCAGGACUUGUUCAAAAUGUGGAUAAGAUAGAUGAUGAUAAAAAUCUUUCUUUGUCAGAAAUUGUAUCAAAUCCUUUACCUGAUCAUCAACAAAGUGCAAUUAAAAGAUCAAUUAUGUUGGGCUUAGGAUCAGUGUUUCCACAAAGCUUUUCAUUAACUUCAAACAUGGAACUGCCCUCUCGUCCAUUAGAUCCAAAUGUUAAGAUUAAACGACCCAAAGUACUUUAUCGAAGACGGAAUACAAAAUCUGCUGCAGCUAAUAACCCUAUUGAUUGGGGAGAGCAGUGUGUUGAUAUGUUUGAAGUAAUAAAUCAAAUAGGUGAAGGUACCUACGGUCAAGUUUACAAAGCUAAAGAUAAAACUUCAGGUACAUUUGUAGCAUUGAAAAAAGUUCGUCUUGAAAAUGAGAAGGAAGGAUUCCCAAUUACCGCUGUUCGGGAAAUAAAAAUUUUACGGCAAUUAAACCAUAAAAAUAUUGUUAACCUUAGAGAAAUUGUAACUGAUAAACAAGAUGCCCUUGAUUUUAAAAAAGAUAGAGGAUCGUUCUAUUUAGUAUUUGAAUACAUGGAUCAUGAUCUUAUGGGAUUAUUAGAAUCUGGAAUGGUUGACUUUAAUGAGACACAUAAUGCAAGUAUUAUGCGACAAUUGUUGGAAGGUUUAAAUUAUUGUCAUCGUAGAAAUUUUCUUCAUAGAGAUAUCAAAUGCAGCAACAUCUUAAUGAAUAACAAAGGUGAAGUGAAGUUGGCUGAUUUUGGUCUAGCUAGGUUGUAUAACGCUCAAGAUAGACAAAGGCCGUACACUAAUAAAGUGAUAACCCUCUGGUAUAGGCCACCUGAAUUAUUACUUGGCGAAGAGAGGUAUGGAACUUCAAUUGACGUUUGGUCUUGUGGAUGUAUUUUGGGAGAAUUGUUCUUAAAAAAACCUUUAUUUCAGGCCAACGAAGAAAUGAUGCAAUUGGAAACAAUAUCUCGUUUAUGUGGUAGUCCAACACCGGCUGUAUGGCCUACUGUGAUUAACUUGCCUUUCUGGCAUUCCUUAAAAGCUAAGAAAGUACAUCGACGUCGGUUACGUGAAGAAUUUACAUUUAUGAAUGAUAGUGCCUUGGAUCUUUUAGAUCAUAUGUUAGAAUUAGACCCUAGCAAACGAAUUACUGCUGAUAAAGCUCUAAAAUGUAAUUGGUUAAAAAAUGUUCAACCUGAUAAAAUGGAUGUGACAGCAUUACCAACAUGGCAAGAUUGUCAUGAGCUUUGGAGCAAAAAAAGAAAAAGAGAUCAAAGAGUACGAGAAAACCAGCCCAGGACUAACGAAUCUGGUGAACCAAUACCGGCUGGAGGAAUUCCCGCUGAUGUACAAAAUAAUGAAAAUAAUUUAGCUGAUGGUUUAAAAUCAACUGUUGAAAAUAAUGCCAAUGAAGCUGAAAGUGAUAUUAUAGCAGCAGCGCUUGCCAAUAACAAUUCAACAAAAUCUGAUAUUGAAUCUGAAAAGCCUAAUAACAAUGUUGAAACAGAUGAGGUACAUACACAUUGAUUCAGUAUUCAGAUAAUGUAUUAUAGUUGAUUAGAUAAAAUAAUUAGCUUAAUGUUAUCCAUAGCAAUUGGUGUCUAGUACAACUGUUGACGUAAUUGAUGAUUUAAAUCUGACUCCACCUAUCAAAGAUUUUAAUCUAUGCUUAAACACUUUCCUUCCAAAAACUGGUAGAUUUUAGAUCUAGCAUUUUUUUUUUAAAUUGUAUUAGUUUUCUACACUCAUAAUGGUUUUAAUUAUUAUUUUAAUUAUUAUUAUUAUUAUUAAUAUCAUCAGCAUAAUAUAUGUUUAUGUAUACACAUAUGUAGGGUGUUUUCCCAUUUUCCUGUAUUAGUAUUAUGGGGGAAAAACUGGUCUACCAUACAUAUAUUUGUAUAUAAAUUAAUAUAUAAUAUAUAGUAUAUAGUAUAUACAUAUGUGUAUUUUAGAUUUAUAAUUUGUUUAAUAAUUUUUUACUUCGUUAUUACUUAAUAUUAUAUAAAGAUAACUAUAUGUUUAUUAUAUUUUUUUCUUAGAGAUGAUAGUUAUAUAUUUUUACAUUCAAUUUGGACACGCGUACAAUUAAGUUUAGUUUAAUGUUUUGUGUUGUAUAUUUAAUAUUUAUCCAUGUAAAAUUAUAAAUAUUUGUAAUUAAAUUAUUAUAAUUUAAUUGUUAUCCUGAAAAAAAUAUUUAUAAUUUAAUUGUUAUCCUGAAAAAAAAUCUAUAAUUUUUUUUUAUAUAAAAAAAAUAUAUGAAAUUGCUCACUAGGAAAACUGCAUGAACUUUCAUCACCAUAUUUGUCGAGCAUAAUUAUACAAUUUAACUCAUUUCAAUGAAUUAUAAUACAAAUAUUAAAAUAACUUUUACUACAAAAACUGUUUGCCUUAAUUUAUGAGUGGUCAUACAUUCUUUACAAUCAACCAGAUUAUACCAAAGUAGAUUUUUAAUCAAAAAAUUGUCCUAAUUAUUAGCUGUAAAUUGUAUUAAUAUAUUUUUAAUAUUAAUGAAAUAAUAAUUGUUAAAUGAUUAAGCUUAAAUUUAGAUUUUCAUCUAUUAAUAUAUUUGAUAUGUUAUCGUUAUCAAAUAUCUUAUAAACUUAAAGCAAUCGUUCAUCAGGGUAUUAAUAUUAUUGAACUUGCUGUAGCCUUUUUUCUCAAUAAAUCCUUAUUUAUAUUUUACAAAUUAGAUUUAGUCCUAAUAAUAGGUUUAAGUAGUUGUAUGUUUAAUUAUAUGAUCAUUAUGAACUGAUACAAAUUGUAAAUAUUUUUGUUACAUCUUAUAUACAAACUGUUCAUUUGUGGUAGAGUAUAAUAUAUAUUAUACACAUUAUUAUAUAUUAUAUUUUUUGAAUGAAAAGUAUUAUUGUUUCAAUUUUUACAGUAAGUAGUAUUAAGAAAAAACUAUUUUAAGCUAAAUCAACUUGAGAAAAAAUAUUUCGCGAACAAUUAGUUCAACUUUAUGCUUGAUGUACGUUGUUAUGUGUGUAUAAUAUUGUAUAUUUUUUAAUAUAACAUUAAAAUAAAUUAAAAAAAUAUUUCUAAUUUUGUUCUCUUCCACAAAUCAUUGGAAUUAGUUUGAGGAUGUAUUCAAAUUUUUGAGAGAAGUAUAAUAUCACAUUCACAAUGAUGUUUUGCAUUUUAAAUCAUAAUAAAUUGUUGCAAUUACACAUGUUUUGAAAAUGUAAUUUUUUUUUUUACUCCAGAUUAAAAAAAAAAACAUUCAAAUA